GAUGAACGCUAGCGGCAGGCUUAAUACAUGCAAGUCGUGGGGCAGCAGGUUUGUAGCAAUACAGAUGCUGGCGACCGGCAAACGGGUGCGGAACACGUACGCAACCUCCCUCUAACUGGAAGAUAGCCCACCGAAAGGUGGAUUAAUACUCCAUAACAUAUUGAAAAGGCAUCUUUUUGAUAUUAAAGCUCCGGCGGUUAGAGAUGGGCGUGCGUCUGAUUAGGUAGUUGGCGGGGUAACGGCCCACCAAGCCUGCGAUCAGUAGCUGAUGUGAGAGCAUGAUCAGCCACACGGGCACUGAGACACGGGCCCGACUCCUACGGGAGGCAGCAGUAAGGAAUAUUGGUCAAUGGACGCAAGUCUGAACCAGCCAUGCCGCGUGGAGGAUGAAGGUCCUCUGGAUUGUAAACUUCUUUUCUCUGGGACGAAACCCCCGAUUUCCAUCGGGCCUGACGGUACCAGAGGAAUAAGCACCGGCUAACUCCGUGCCAGCCGCCGCAGUAACAC
rnacentral:rRNA from 1 species